GGGAAUAUUGCACAAUGGGCGAAAGCCUGAUGCAGCAACGCCGCGUGAGUGAUGAAGGCCUUCGGGUUGUAAAGCUCCGUCUUCUGGGACGAUAAUGACGGUACCAGAGGAGGAAGCCACGGCUAACUACGUGCCAGCAGCCGCGGUAAUACGUAGGUGGCAAGCGUUGUCCGGAUUUACUGGGCGUAAAGGAUGCGUAGGCGGAUACUUAAGUCAGAUGUGAAAAUCCCGGGCUUAACUUGGGAACUGCAUUUGAAACUGGGUAUCUAGAGUGCAGGAGAGGAAAGUGGAAUUCCUAGUGUAGCGGUGAAAUGCGUAGAGAUUAGGAAGAACACCAGUGGCGAAGGCGACUUUCUGGACCGUAACUGACGCUGAGGCAUGAAAGCGUGGGGAGCAAACA
rnacentral:rRNA from 1 species